ACCCCUGUGAAGUAUGCCCUACGUUACCCCUAACUCGGGAACAAGGAGCGGGCAUCAGGCACAACUUGUUAUAAGCCCAAGACGCCUUGCUUAGCCACACCCCCACGGGAACUCAGCAGUGAUAAACAUUAAGCCAUAAGCGAAAGCUUGACUUAGUUAAAGCUUAGAGGGCCGGUAAAACUCGUGCCAGCCACCGCGGUUAUACGAGAGGCCCAAGUUGAUGACCCUCGGCGUAAAGCGUGGUUAAGAACUGCCUUAAAACUAAAGUCGAAUGCCCUCAAAGCUGUUAUACGCAUCCGAAGGUAAGAAGCCCAACAUACGAAAGUGACUUUACAACUCUGAACCCACGAAAGCUAAGAUACAAACUGGGAUUAGAUACCCCACUAUGCUUAGCCUUAAACAUUGACAACUCACAACACCCGUUGUCCGCCCGGGCACUACGAGCAUUAGCUUAAAACCCAAAGGACUUGGCGGUGCUUUAGACCCACCUAGAGGAGCCUGUUCUGUAACCGAUACCCCCCGUUAAACCUCACCCCUUCUUGUUAUUACCGCCUAUAUACCGCCGUCGUCAGCUUACCCUGUGAAGGAACAACAGUAAGCACAGUUGCCGUACUCCAAAACGUCAGGUCGAGGUGUAGCCCAUGAAGGGGGAAGAAAUGGGCUACAUUCUCUGACUAAGAGAAAACGAAUGGUGUGCUGAAAUACACACCUGAAGGAGGAUUUAGCAGUAAGCAGAAAAUAGAGAGUUUUGCUGAAAAUGGCCCUGAAGCGCGCACACACCGCCCGUCACUCUCCCCGAGCUAACAAUUUAGACAUAAUUUAAAACCCAACAACUGCAAAGGGGAGGCAAGUCGUAACAUGGUAAGUGUACCGGAAGGUGCCCUUGGACAAAC
rnacentral:ncRNA from 1 species